CACUCAUGCAAGAGUCUGCCCCUCGAUGGGUGUUGAAUUAGAAGCCUGUCCCGCAGGCCACAGCUAUGAAGCUGCAGGUCAUCUGAGGCGGGAGAAUGUGUGAGAACCGAGAUUUCAGAGACUGAAGGUGCGUGGCAUAAAUGAAUCAUGACUGAAAACACUGCCCGGCAUCUUCGCAGGGCCGCAUGUGUGUGACAAGAGAGGCGAGGAAGCGUUAUUUCUAAAAUAGCAGAAAAGCACAUUUGGCACAAUGGGAAAGAAAUCUCUCAGCAUUUUUUCUUAAUCCAUUGAAAGACACCCAUCAUGAGCCCGUCCAUUAAACUUGGGGAACGUGGAGACCCAAAGCAAGUGACUGUGAAGCUCUGGCCACCGCUUCU